GUGUUCACUUAAGCAGUACAUAUACUAAAAUUGGAACAAUAAAGAGAACAUUAACAUGGCCCCUACACAAGGAUAACAUGCAGAUUCCUGAAGCAUUCCACAUUUUU